AGCGAACGCUGGCGGCAGGCUUAACACAUGCAAGUCGAGCGGGCAUCCUUGUGGUGUCAGCGGCAGACGGGUGAGUAACGCGUGGGAACGUGCCCUUCGGUUCGGAAUAACUCAGGGAAACUUGAGCUAAUACCGGAUACGUGCGAGAGCAGAAAGGUUUAUCUGCCGAAGGAUCGGCCAGCGUCUGAUUAGCUAGUUGGUGAGGUUAUGGCUCACCAAGGCGACGAUCAGUAGCUGGUCUGAGAGGAUGAUCAGCCACACUGGGACUGAGACACGGCCCAGACUCCUACGGGAGGCAGCAGUGGGGAAUAUUGGACAAUGGGGGCAACCCUGAUCCAGCCAUGCCGCGUGAGUGAUGACGGCCUUAGGGUUGUAAAGCUCUUUUCUCCGGGACGAUAAUGACGGUACCGGAGGAAUAAGCCCCGGCUAACUUCGUG
rnacentral:rRNA from 1 species